CGGAUGCAUCUCUGCUUUACUGCUCUCAUAAAUACUCCAGAGUUGAAAACAAUGAGGCUGUUCUUUGGCAGUGUUAAGCUGAGGUAAUGUCACUAUUGAGCACGGCUGACAGCUUUAUGUGCAACAGAAAGGAUCAGAAUGAGAAGACAGCAACAGCUUCUGUGGUUCUCCACAAGCAGUUGGGAAUCAAUGGGAUGGCAACGACAUGUGGCGUAAAAAAAAAAAAACAAUUCCAUGCUAUAUAUAUGAAGUAAACGUGAUGAGAGAAAAAAGAAUAGGGGCCGAGCAACUACUCCCACAAUUAUUGGACAACCUGCUUCAUCUCCAGAGCCACAGCUGCCAAAAGAAACUAGGUCUAGAUCCAGUCCCCAUGAGCACUGCUGCUGAAUUUUCUACCGCCUCCCAGACGAAGUCACCGGCUCUCCCCUCUCUCCCCUCUCUCCUCCUUUGUGCAAUGAAGGCAGCAGGAGCUCCUCUCCCAGCGGGCUCCCAGCGUUGUAUCUCUGAGAAGC